rnacentral:tRNA from 1 species
GCCCGGAUGGCGGAAUUGGUAGACGCGCUAGAUUCAGGAUCUAGUGGGGGUUUCCCCAUGGGGGUUCGAGUCCCCCUUCGGGCA